UCAAAAACAUGGCUUAUUGAUUUUAAUUUUAGGUCUAGCCUGCCCCCUGAAAUUUUAAAUGGCUGCGGUAUUUUGACCGUGCUAAGGUAGCAUAAUCAUUAGUUUCUUAAUUAGAAGCUGGAAUGAAGGGUUGGAUGAAAAAAUUUCUGUCUCUAUUUAAAUUUAUUAAAAUUUUAUUUUUUAGUAAAAAAGCUAAAAUUAUUUUAAAAGACGAGAAGACCCUAUAGAGUUUUAUAUAUAAAUUCUUUAAAAUUUAUUGGAAUAUAAAUUUUUAAUUUAAUAAUAUAUUUAAUUGGGGUGAUUGAAAAAUUGAUAUAACUUUUUUUAUUUUGUACAUUGAUUUAUGAAUUAUUGAUCCAUAUUUAAUGAUUAUAAGAUUUAAUUACCUUAGGGAUAACAGCGUAAUGUUUUCAGAGAGUUCUUAUCGAAGAAAAAGAUUGCGACCUCGAUGUUGGAUUAAAAUGAAUUAUUGGUGUAGAAGCUNNUAUNAUUAGGUCUGUUCGACCUUUAAAAUUUUACAUGAUCUGA
rnacentral:rRNA from 1 species